rnacentral:rRNA from 1 species
GCUGUACCGCGUUGACGGAGCGAAGCGACGUCAAACCGAUAAAACAGCAGUGUAAAGUGAGCCGCAGGGCGCUUUGCGCGACAGCGCAAAGGCAGGCGGUUUCGCGUAGCGAAAGCGAAUGCUUUGGGGUGGGGUGACUGCGUACCUUUUGUAUAAUGGGUCAGCGACUUAUAUUCUGUAGCAAGGUUAACCGAAUAGGGGAGCCGGAGGGAAACCGAGUCUUAAUUGGGCGUUAAGUUGCAGGGUAUAGACCCGAAACCCGGUGAUCUAGCCAUGGGCAGGUUGAAGGGUGGGUAACACUAACUGGAGGACCGAACCGACUAAUGUUGAAAAAUUAGCGGAUGACCUGUGGCUGGGGGUGAAAGGCCAAUCAAACCGGGAGAUAGCUGGUUCUCCCCGAAAGCUAUUUAGGUAGCGCCUCGUGAAUUCAUCUCCGGGGGUAGAGCACUGUUUCGGCUAGGGGGCCAUCCCGGCUUACCAACCCGAUGCAAACUGCGAAUACCGGAGAAUGUUAUCACGGGAGACACACGGCGGGUGCUAACGUCCGUCGUGAAGAGGGAAACAACCCAGACCGCCAGCUAAGGUCCCAAAGUCAUGGUUAAGUGGGAAACGAUGUGGGAAGGCCCAGACAGCCAGGAUGUUGGCUUAGAAGCAGCCAUCAUUUAAAGAAAGCGUAAUAGCUCACUGGUCGAGUCGGCCUGCGCGGAAGAUGUAACGGGGCUAAACCAUGCACCGAAGCUGCGGCAGCGACACUGUGUGUUGUUGGGUAGGGGAGCGUUCUGUAAGCCUGUGAAGGUGUGUCGUGAGGCAUGCUGGAGGUAUCAGAAGUGCGAAUGCUGACAUAAGUAACGAUAAAGCGGGUGAAAAGCCCGCUCGCCGGAAGACCAAGGGUUCCUGUCCAACGUUAAUCGGGGCAGGGUGAGUCGACCCCUAAGGCGAGGCCGAAAGGCGUAGUCGAUGGGAAACGGGUUAAUAUUCCCGUACUUGGUGUUACUGCGAAGGGGGGACGGAGAAGGCUAUGUUGGCCGGGCGACGGUUGUCCCGGUUUAAGCGUGUAGGUGUGUGUUCCAGGUAAAUCCGGUUCACUUUAACACUGAGGCGUGACGACGAGGCACUACGGUGCUGAAGCAACAAAUGCCCUGCUUCCAGGAAAAGCCUCUAAGCAUCAGGUAACAUCAAAUCGUACCCCAAACCGACACAGGUGGUCAGGUAGAGAAUACCAAGGCGCUUGAGAGAACUCGGGUGAAGGAACUAGGCAAAAUGGUGCCGUAACUUCGGGAGAAGGCACGCUGACACGUAGGUGAAGUGAUUUACUCAUGGAGCUGAAGUCAGUCGAAGAUACCAGCUGGCUGCAACUGUUUAUUAAAAACACAGCACUGUGCAAACACGAAAGUGGACGUAUACGGUGUGACGCCUGCCCGGUGCCGGAAGGUUAAUUGAUGGGGUCAGCGCAAGCGAAGCUCCUGAUCGAAGCCCCGGUAAACGGCGGCCGUAACUAUAACGGUCCUAAGGUAGCGAAAUUCCUUGUCGGGUAAGUUCCGACCUGCACGAAUGGCGUAAUGAUGGCCAGGCUGUCUCCACCCGAGACUCAGUGAAAUUGAACUCGCUGUGAAGAUGCAGUGUACCCGCGGCAAGACGGAAAGACCCCGUGAACCUUUACUAUAGCUUGACACUGAACAUUGAGCCUUGAUGUGUAGGAUAGGUGGGAGGCUUUGAAGUGUGGACGCCAGUCUGCAUGGAGCCGACCUUGAAAUACCACCCUUUAAUGUUUGAUGUUCUAACGUGGACCCGUUACCCGGGUUGCGGACAGUGUCUGGUGGGUAGUUUGACUGGGGCGGUCUCCUCCUAAAGAGUAACGGAGGAGCACGAAGGUUGGCUAAUCCUGGUCGGACAUCAGGAGGUUAGUGCAAUGGCAUAAGCCAGCUUGACUGCGAGCGUGACGGCGCGAGCAGGUGCGAAAGCAGGUCAUAGUGAUCCGGUGGUUCUGAAUGGAAGGGCCAUCGCUCAACGGAUAAAAGGUACUCCGGGGAUAACAGGCUGAUACCGCCCAAGAGUUCAUAUCGACGGCGGUGUUUGGCACCUCGAUGUCGGCUCAUCACAUCCUGGGGCUGAAGUAGGUCCCAAGGGUAUGGCUGUUCGCCAUUUAAAGUGGUACGCGAGCUGGGUUUAGAACGUCGUGAGACAGUUCGGUCCCUAUCUGCCGUGGGCGCUGGAGAACUGAGGGGGGCUGCUCCUAGUACGAGAGGACCGGAGUGGACGCAUCACUGGUGUUCGGGUUGUCAUGCCAAUGGCACUGCCCGGUAGCUAAAUGCGGAAGAGAUAAGUGCUGAAAGCAUCUAAGCACGAAACUUGCCCCGA